GACAGAGGCCUCAAGCGUUAGGCGGAAUCACUGGGCUUAAAGCGUGUGUAGGCGGAUCGUUAAGUGCCUUGUGAAAUCCCUCGGCUUAACCGAGGAACUGCCUGUCAGACUGGAAGGCUUGAGGCCGGGAGGGGGUAGCGGAAUUCCCAGUGUAGCGGUGAAAUGCGUAGAUAUUGGGAGGAACACCGGUGGCGAAGGCGGCUACCUGGACCGGUUCUGACGCUGAUGCGCGAAAGCGUGGGUAGCAAACAGG
rnacentral:rRNA from 1 species